rnacentral:rRNA from 1 species
GAUGAACGCUGGCGGCGUGCCUAAUACAUGCAAGUCGAGCGAACAGACGAGGAGCUUGCUCCUCUGACGUUAGCGGCGGACGGGUGAGUAACACGUGGAUAACCUACCUAUAAGACUGGGAUAACUUCGGGAAACCGGAGCUAAUACCGGAUAAUAUAUUGAACCGCAUGGUUCAAUAGUGAAAGACGGUUUUGCUGUCACUUAUAGAUGGAUCCGCGCCGCAUUAGCUAGUUGGUAAGGUAACGGCUUACCAAGGCAACGAUGCGUAGCCGACCUGAGAGGGGGAACGGCCCACGUGGAAAUGAGACAGGGUCCAGACUCCUACGGGAGGCAGCAGGAGGGAAUUUUCCGGAAUGGGGGAAAGCCCGAAGGAGAAACGCCGGGGGAGUAAUAAAGGUUUUCGGAUCGUAAAACUCUUUUAUUGGGGAAAAACAAAUGGGUAAGUAACUAUGCACGUCUUGAGGGUACCUAAUAAGAAAGCCACGGCUAACUACGU